GAAUCAUUGAUGAGAAGAAGUAUCUGAGGAUGGUCAUUAACUCAUACAAAUGUCAAUCUGAGGUCC
rfam:Mesocricetus auratus contig209175, whole genome shotgun sequence.